UACAGAGGGUGCAAGCGUUAAUCGGAAUUACUGGGCGUAAAGGGUGUGUAGGUGGUUGCGUAAGUUAGAUGUGAAAUCCCCCGGGCUUAACCUGGGAACUGCGUUUAAAACUGCGUAGCUAGAGUAUUGCAGAGGGUAGUGGAAUUUCCAGUGUAGCGGUGAAAUGCGUAGAUAUUGGAAGGAACACCAGUGGCGAAGGCGACUACCUGGGCAAAUACUGACACUGAGACACGAAAGCAUGGGGAGCAAACAGG
rnacentral:rRNA from 1 species